UUUUGGAUGUUAACUCCCAGAAGGCUCUGCUGCCUUGGCCAAAGAUCAGGGAUUUUGGGAGACAAAGUCCAAAAACACCUGAAAGACCAGAGUUGGAGAAAUACUGCUUUAGCAAAAAACAAUUUCUUGAAUAAAGGCACAUCAUUUGUUGCCUUUCUCAGAUUUCUCUUUUCUUUCUCCCUUAACGUUGCUCUUUCAUUUCCCCACCUUUGAGGACAGAUAUGAAACAAAGCAAAAGGGAAAGUGAAAGCCGUUAUAAUCUACUUUUUGUUUUGAGCAGGCAAUCUGAGGUUUGCAGCCCAGACUUUCUGACAUGAAAGAUGAACAUACUGGGAGAAAAAGACAUUUGGACAUUGCCAAGCCUGUACAACCCACCUGGAUUAGAGGGACUGCUUACUGACCAUUUUUUAUUUUGCUUGCCAAGCUACUUGAGGGGCUCUGAGAACAUCUGAAUCCAUGACAUAUUGGCUGGUGACAUGUUGUUCCAUGUGGAAUCAAAGAAGCAAAAAAUAUACAUGGAUUAUUUGGAAAUUAUCUCUCCUUUGAAGUUUAUGAGAAGUGAGAAAGACUUGGAAAGGGUGUUUCAAAAUGAUGAACCUGAUUUGAAAUCGCUGUAUCUCUGCAACCAGGAAGUGCCCAUGAAUGAAAGCUUUACCACUUGAAAGAGCGGGGUAUAGAAGCACUAUGCCACUAGAAGCAGGCCACAGAUGAGAAACAGGAAGAGAAAAAUGGUUAACAUACAAAGAGCUUUUGAAAAAACAAGAGGGAGAGAUAACAUUGAAAACCCAAAAUGAAAUUAAGUCAAUUGGAAGAAGGAAUUUCAUGGUUUCAAUGCAGACAAAUUAGAGAAUAUUAUAUGAAAGAUAAGAAAGUGGGAUUCAUAAAAAAGGAAGACUUUUGGGACAGAAUCAUGAAAAAAGAGAAUAAAUUGAUAACAAAAAUAUAUAAAAAACUAUUAGAAUGGUCUACAGAAACUGAACAAAUAAAAGAACAUAUGACCAAAUGGGCUGCAAACAUUGGCCAUACAAUUAAAUUAGAAGAAUGGGGAAAGAUAUGGAACCAGAAAACAAGAUGGACCUAUGCUUAUGAUUUAAAGGAGAACUGGCUAAAAUGAUGUACAGAUGGUACAUCACCCCCCAGAUACUCUCAAAAGUGUAUCCAAAAAUGAACAACAAAUGUUGGAAAUGUGAUGAACAAAAACGGGAUCCUUCUACCAUAUGUGGUGGAGUUGUAAAAUAGCCCAAAAAUAUUGGAAAGAUAUACACGAAGAGAUAGAAAAAUCAUUAAAAAUAAACUUGCCACUAAAACCAGAACUCCUCCUACUUGGAAUAGCAGAGCCAGGCAUGGAAGAGAACAAAGAAAAACUCAUCCAUUAUCUAACAACAGCAGCAAGAAUGAACUAUGCAUGUCAUUGGAGGAUGAAGGAAAUACCAUCAAAAAAACAAUGGGUUUUGAAAAUAAUGGACAUAAUGAAUAUGGACAUUCUAACAUAGAUGAUGAAAAACAAUGAAUUUUUCAAAAGUAAAAUGAUGAACUAGUCAUUAAUUAAAGACUAUAUGAUCCAAGAAAAUAUUAAAUUGAUAGUUGAAAUAUACAAAGACUUAUAUAUAUAGGAGAGACAAGAAAAGGAAAAAGCCGAUCGAGACUAGAAUUUAAGAAAACCAAGAAGGAAAGUAACCACAAUAGAGAAGAUUGGAAGCCAAACUCUUCAAUCCCCUCCACCCUUACUACCCUAUUUCUCUCCUUAAACACUUCCUGUAGAUUCCCCUUUAGCUGGUAGAUACCUAGGAAAUACCCAAUAACCAACGUUCCUUAUCCCUACCCUACCCCAUACUUUUCACUUUUUGUAAAUAUAAACCUUCAAUUAAAAUCUUUUUUUUAAAAAAGAAAGAGUGGGGCAUAGAGAUUCCAAUGAUUACCACUAGAUAACUCUCCCAAAGCACAAAAAACAAAAAACCCUAGCCUCAGUAAUUCGCAAUAUGGAGAUAAUGCAACAUAAGGUCUAAGGAGAUAUUCUCCAUUUGCAGAGUUGUUUUUUAGAUUUGUUUCUGGCUCAACGUGGUUAGGAAAACCUGAUACCUUGAGAACUCAUUAAAUCAUUUGCAACAUUUUGCGUAAUUGUAACAUGUUGACAUCAUUAAAUGCACUGCUUUGAAAGUGUGCCUAUCAUUUUGAAAAACCCUGUAUUGUGCUAAGGCAGUGGUUCUCGACCUGUGGCUCCCCAGGUGUUUUGGCUUACAACUCCCAGAAAUCUCAGCUAGUUUAUCAGCUGUUAGGAUUUCUAGGAGUUGAAGGCCAAAACAUCUGGGGACCCACAGGUUGAAAACUGCUGUGCUAAGCCAUCUUGUUCGCAAAACUCUGCUGCUCCAUGCAUUUCUAUAGGGCACUGAAUCAGGUAUCUGGUCCAAGGCUAAUUGUCUUAUUAUUAUGUAUUAAUAUUUGGAGAGGUCUGUUCUGCUAGUAUUCAUUUAUUGAGGCAACAGUAACAAAACCUAAAAGGUGUUUUAUUGCAGGCACUGUUGUAAAGAAAUAGUGGGGGUACAUUGCCUCUUGGACUACUGCUUAUCUAGUACUGUAGUUUACUCUAGAUCAGCUAUACUAUGUUAGAAAUGACAACCUUCAUCAAGCCUUCUCUAGCAAUUUGUUUGUCUAUUAUCUUGUUGCUUACUGUUUCCUGCAUGUAUGUUUUGUUGUGCAGUUUCCUUUACUCUAUGGUUUCUGAGAAGUUAUAAAAGGGGCUGCAGACCACAUUCUCUCUUCAUCUCUCUCCUUUUGACAAUGUGACCUGUUGAUAGCUGUUCUGUUAUAAGAGAGAUGCCCUGGCUGGCUGACACAGGGAACCAUCUCAAAGAUAUUUGAAACUGGACUAAUACGUUUUGUACCUGUGUAUGCUGAACACAUGAAAGUUGUGAGUAAACCAAAUAUGUUAUUUCCAUCAAA